GAGGAGAAGCCGUGAUAGGUCACGUCGUCAGGUGGGCCCUCAUCCCCGCGGCGUGCCCAGCACAAUCCACCGACUACCUCCCUUCACGCUCCCUUCCAUCGCGAGGAUCACUCUCUCAUGUGCCCCUCUGCCCGUGCAUGCCCUUGCGCCCACGCCGCCGCCUCCUCUCCCUCCCCGUCGCACUCGUGUUGUCGUCACACUCGCCGAAUGAGUCGCCAUCAGGAGAAGCCGAGCCUGAAUGCCGCAGCCUCCUCUCCCUCACCAUCGGGCCCGCACCAUCAUCCAGCGGCUCCCCGUCGGCCCUUAGUGCACGGUGACAGGAUCGGAGGUGCCACUGGCGCGGGGCUACUCGCCAGAGUGCGCGCGCGGACGAAGCCGCACACGCCUCUGUCCAAUAGCUCUCCGUCGGCCCUUAGCAAAACAUCACGAGCGGGUAUCUUCGCGACGGCAACGACAAUGGCAGCAGUUCGGCCACCCGGUACACCUGAAGGCAACGAUGACGACGACGGCCAAGCUGUAUGUGAAGGUUCAUGAUGAUGCAGUAUGGAAAAUAUCCUCCUAGAACGGAUGUAAGUUAAGUUUGCUUCUUGUCCUGGAAAUUUGGUUUGGCGAUUGGCAGUCCUUGUAGCUUUUUUCUCUCUGUUUUAAGACAGGCAAUUUGGUUUUUGAUAUACUGCAUGUAUUUCAGCUUAAAUGAUCAUGAAAAUAUCAACAAAAUUAUUUCAUUUAUUACCCCACUGUAUUAGGACCGGUUAAUGUUCUACAUAAAUAUUGCCGAAAAAGCCUAAACUUAAAUGAAACUGAAAUUUGAGGGAGUUGUGAUUGGCUGGCCUCCCAAUAUAUCUUGGCCACGAAAGAGACAGAGGAUGAGGGAUUGCCAAGGGAGUAGGCGGCGGCGUUCCUAGCAAACUCUGUCAUAUAUCAAUGCACACCACUGUACCCCGCUUGGACCAGAAGCAAUGGAAUGAAAAUUUUAGGAACGACCGGACGACGGAGAGGAACCGCUCAUCUCUUGCUUUCAUUAAUAAAUUGGAUUUCUAAUUUUCUAUGCUAUCUGCAUAUCUAAAAUCAAGGCUACUUUGCUUCAUUCCAGGUAAUCUAAUACUGCCCAAUUUUGUGAUGUUUGAGUGCUAAUUGGAUCUACAUUUUUCUAUUUUUUUUGUUUAGCAGUACCUGUAGGUCAAAGCACAUCAACCGGCUAACUACUACGGAUGUUGCCAAUGCCGCUACUGAUUUUAUAAGCUAAAUAAGUGUUUGUCUUAGAUUCACAGAAAUCAGCUACUAAUCCACAUAGAGCUAUGGUGCGUCUGGUGUUUACUUGAUCAGCUAUUGAUCCAUGUCAGACUAUAUGCCACGUGGCAAAUGAACUCAGCUCAGCUCAGAGUUUCUGCCUUUUAAUUAGUGGAUGGUUGCUUCGUUUCACUCUUUUAGUAAGUGAUGAACACAGAGGUUAGAUGUAUACUUGUUUCAGUAGCAAGCUUAUUUCAGUCAAUUUUGUGGUUGGUUAUGGGUUAUUACCUUGAGGUCUUGGAACUAAGGAUGCUUAGUUGUUUGAAUUAUACUUUUAAUUGCAAAAGGUUCAAAUUUGGUCGCUAAAUAAUUUACACCAUGCUUAUAUAUAGGUAAGAUUCCUACUUAAUGGGAUUUUGAGGAUGUUUCAGUAAACUAUUUACUCUGAUUAUUAGGGACAAUGAUAAAUAAUUCAAGAAGGUGCAGGAAGGGUUGGCGAUCACUCGCUGAAUUGGUGUCCCCAUAACAGCAACACCAAGCCAGGUCACAAGGUUAUCUCUGCAGUACAAAAUGUUUGUGGAUUAAUCUUUGUUUAUUUUGGACAAUCUGGUGUAGACGGGUAAGGAAAUGAAUGGUGAUUUCUCGCUGAAGUUAAACCUUGAAAAAGAGGGAAUGCAAGAACUUUUCUGCAGGAUGAGUUAAUGGUUGGCAUUGAUACACUGAUGCUUGAUGCUGAGCACAACCAGCUACCAUGUUAUUGUGCUUAAUAUAAUGGUAUUGUAACUAAGGUAACUUUUUAUGUCUUGGCAUGGCCAUCUUGAACCCAGGCAUAUGAAACUCAGAUAAUUUUAUUGGUAAAAAUAGAAAGAUGACAAGCAGUUCAGUUUUCUUGAUAAUGUACAUAUGUGGUUAGAUUGGUUAGUGGGGACUAGAUAAAGUUGAGAGAAAUCAGUGAUGGUUCAGUAUUCUGAAGUAGAAUUCAAGAGCAAUGGGAGUAGUAGUGUGGUGUCUGAUCAGUUGUGAGACUGGCAUGUUCAGUGAAAGCAAGUAAAUUUGAGAGUUCGGAGAAAGAAAGAUUUUGAGUCGCAGUUUGAGAGCCAAGAAGAUUUAGUUGAGAAAAAUGAUAUACUACAAUAUAUACAGUAAGCAAGUAGAGCCCUACAUCUGAGGAGGGUGCACAACAGAGUUGUGACUUUAGUUUUUUUAUAUAAGGAAAAGUCAGAUCCCAGGAUGUAGAUGUGUGGGAGAAGAUGAUGGAGAGUAGGUGGCAGAUUGUAGCUGUCUGAGGAGGAUUUUAGGCCCAUGAGGUACAUGAUUACAAGGCGUUGGUAAAUGUACAUGCCAUGUUCAGCUAAUAAGAGAGCAUGCACUUUCACUGAAAAUAGUUGGCUUUAGUAAAAGAGAGGAAGAAAGAAUAUGCAAAUUACAGGAUUUACAUGUUGCAAAUCAUCAACAACAAUAGUGUGACUCAUUGGCUGUUAGCAUAAUAUUUAUGAGAUGCCAUCAUGUGAGUAGGCCAGGAGUCUGUGCUAUAACAAAUCAGUGAUGAUGCACUGAAACUCCUGAAGAAUGUAGUAGUUUAGUGCAGAUAAGAAAGUGGCGCUCAUUUUGUGGUGAUGCAACCCUGCAAAUGUGCAGUGUAGUUUAGGCUUUAUUGGUGAACAAAAAGGAGAGACCUUAAAGUUCCAUGCAGCCAAUAGUAGGGAUGAUGGCAAGUAGCACAGUUUAGAGGCAAUAGCAAGCCCAUGAGAUCAGUGUUCAGCAGUAUCAGCAAUCUUCAAUGCAUAUAGCUGAUUAGUGUAGUGUAGACCAUCUUUUAUGCAGUAGUCUAAGACUGAACGUGUGAUUUGGCCUGUCAAAAAUUCGAAGUUAUCUUCUACAUGAAUCAUAUAUGAUGCAAGCUUCUCGAAAUCAUAUGUCAUGCCAUCUGUUAAUCCAUCUGGUAAUUCAAAGUUAUAUUACAUCUAAAUUAUAUGUCAUGUCCAUUCAUUCAAAAAAUAAAUGAAGAAAAUUAUAUCUACACUCGAAGCCCCAGAUGACAUUUAAUAUUAAGCGGCGUCCUAUCUGAGUAAACUGAGUUACAAGUUGCCCAUUAUGUCAUAGCAUGCAUCCUCUCUGAAUAUCUCUGAAUUAUGUGUUUUGGUAUUAAUUGUUCGUGAUUCAUGUAGUUUUUCAUAUGUCUUAUUACCGUGUCAUGGGAUCUUACUUGGACACUCAAGUGGAUACAUUAUUCUACAGUAUAUGUUUAUGUGGAACAGACCCGAAGCCACAUACAUUUAUACGGUAAAUUUGUUUUAAGGUUUUGUGAGAGAUUUUUUAAGACAUAGUAUUACCCAUGCGACAGACACUAAUAUUGAUAUAUAUACUCGAACCUGUGUACAUGAUGGUAUGAAGAUGUGGCGGAACUUACUCGCGGAGUUAUUAGCGCACGAAAUAAAUGAAUAUCGAAGAUUUCUUCCUACCGAUAUGAAAUAUUAUUUGAGUCUGAAAAUGUCUAUAAUAUAAAGCAGAGUUGAGCUUGCGACGCUGU